UACGUAGGCAGCGAGCGUUGUUCGGAGUUACUGGGCGUAAAGGGUGCGCAGGCGGUGGAGCAAGUCUGUUGGGAAAUCUCCCGGCUUAACCGGGAGGGUGCGGCGGAAACUGUUCUGCUGGAGUGAGGGAGAGGCAAGCGGAAUUCCUGGUGUAGCGGUGAAAUGCGUAGAUAUCAGGAGGAACACCCGUGGUGCAGACGGCUUGCUGGACCUCCACUGACGCUGAGGCACGAAAGCGUGGGGAGCAAACAGG
rnacentral:rRNA from 1 species